GUCUACAGCUCUAUCACUCUGAAUGCACGUAAUCUCAUCUGAUCUCAGAAGCUAAGCAGGGCCAGACCUGGUUAGUACUUGGAUGGAAGACAGUGGCUCAAGACA
rnacentral:rRNA from 1 species